rnacentral:rRNA from 1 species
GCAUAUCAAUAAGCGGAGGAAAAGAAACCAACAGGGAUUGCCUCAGUAACGGCGAGUGAAGCGGCAACAGCUCAAAUUUGAAAUCUGGCCUCUUUGGGGUCCGAGUUGUAAUUUGUAGAGGAUGUUUCGGGCACCGCUCCGGUUUAAAUUUCUUGGAACAGAAUGUCAAAGAGGGUGAGAACCCCGUCUUGGACCGGCAGUAGGGCCCAUGUGAAACUCCUUCGACGAGUCGAGUUGUUUGGGAAUGCAGCUCAAAAUGGGUGGUAAAUUUCAUCUAAAGCUAAAUAUUGGCCAGAGACCGAUAGCGCACAAGUAGAGUGAUCGAAAGAUGAAAAGCACUUUGAAAAGAGAGUUAAACAGUACGUGAAAUUGUUGAAAGGGAAGCGCUUGCAACCAGACUUGCGCGCGGCGGUUCCCCCUUCCUUUUGGUUGGGUUAUUCCGCCGUGUCCAGGCCAACAUCGGUUCUGGGGGUCGGUUAAAGGCCUGGGGAAUGUAUCUACCCUUCGGGCGUAGACUUAUAGCCCCGGGUGUCAUGCGACCUCCCGGGACCGAGGAACGCGCUUCGGCUCGGAUGUUGGCGUAAUGGUUGUCAGCGACCCGUCUUGAAACACGGACCAAGGAGUCUAACAUCUAUGCGAGUGUUUGGGUGUCAAACCCGGAACGCGGAAUGAAAGUGAACGGAGGUAGGAAGCUUCGGCUGCACUAUCGACCGAUCCUGAUGUCUUCGGAUGGAUUUGAGUAAGAGCAUAGCUGUUGGGACCCGAAAGAUGGUGAACUAUGCCUGAAUAGGGUGAAGCCAGAGGAAACUCUGGUGGAGGCUCGCAGCGGUUCUGACGUGCAAAUCGAUCGUCAAAUUUUGGGUAUGGGGCGAAAGAUUAAUCGAACAUCUGGUAGUU